GCACUAUUUUUUUCCUCACUUGGUCAAUGAAUGCCAAUUUUAGACGAUCAUCGAAAUGAGUUCCAUGUGUGAAAAAGUGAGGCAAAAAGCAAUGCAGACAUACAUAUUGCAACUUAUUUCAAUUUUAUUGCGAGAGAUUUCAAUCAAAGGAGCCCCUGUAAUCAGUAAAUAAGCAACCAGGGUGUCUACUAAAACAGGCUGGUCAAAAACAAGUACUUUUACAGUACUUUUUCAGUGCAUUCUCAAGAAAUUCAGUACCUCCUCGACAGAAAAAUUCCGUACUUUUUCAGUACCCCCAUUUGACGGAAUUCGAAAAAUUUCAAAAAUUUGAAAUUGCGCCAAAAAUGACGAAAAAUUAAAAAAAAUUCCGGACCUUUUUGCGGAAUUUCCGCACUUUUUCAGUACUUCUGGACCGCCCUUAAAAAAUCAGUACUAUUUCCGGACUUUCCGGAAAAUCUGGACUUGUAGACACCCUGGGCAACGUGCACAAGACUCCGACCGAUAUUAAACAUUUUACCAGGUAAUUACAAUUAAUUACAAGCUGUGCCUCUGCGUCCAACCUCUUCCAUCGAUUUGUCUCAUUGUGCGGUGCAGGUUUUUAAGAAAUUUUAAAUUUGCACAGAGCUGCACGCUGAAUGACUCUCUCAGUUCCUUAAUGAUACUCGCGCGUGUUGUACAUGGAUCGCUAGUCCCGUUCCGCAAAAAUGUUUCAUCCAAAACCACGUUUCACGCUUUUUUCAGAUAAUGCGGGAGCCCUCACAAUCUGUGCACUUUCAGCGAGACGGCUCUAAUAGUUGCAGUUUAAACACUCGACCAAGAUGGACCUCAGUCUCAGUACCGUCAAGUAAGUGUUCGCUUAUCAGUAAUAUUCAAUGAGACGAGGCGCUUUAUUUUCGCGCCGGUUACGUAACUAUAAACAUACUAGCAGGAUGCGUAAUAGUCUCGCCUCUUCAGGUUUUUUAGCUCAGGUGGAACGUGCCAAAGCUAGCGUAGUUCCCAUCGUCUUGUUUAAAGUUUCCCGGACGAUUUAAGUAGGUCAAUUGGACGUAAUUCUAUCAAACGGAACUAUGUGCAUUAAGACAUGAGCCCUGAGACCCAUAAGAAUAUGUACAUAACAGGGCUCACGUCAUAAUGCACAUGGUUUCGUUUGACAGAAAUGCGUCCAAUUUAUCUUGAAAACUUUCUCGUGAUGAUGGUUUCAUCAAGACGAUACCUAUCGUGAACGAAGCACUUUGAUUGGAAUAAUUGUGAUGGUGAAUUUUCUGUAAGGAAAUUAAUCGUGAGUGUGUCACGUUUGGAGGAUUGGUUAAGUUUUAGACGGACUGAAAACAUCUAAGAUCCUCAAAACGAGCACUUGAAAUAGCAAGAAUUGUGGGAGAGCAAAGAAUUUAACGAAAUAGAUAAUGAACGAAAUGAUUGUAUUGUAGAGAAUUUGGAAUAAGCUAUAGAGUUACAAAAGGAGUCACACUUAAAUAAUGUGCCAUAAGGGCGAGAGAGGGCACAUCGUACAUGUACGGGUCAGAUGGUAAAAAUGGACCAAGAGAAACAGGCAGCACAAGCUUUUAUAGACUUGCUGACGUCACAGGUGGCGAGACAACAAGUCUACACGCUAUUGGCUGGCUAUAAUCAGUGGAGCUAUCAGUUGCAAGUUGAGUAAUAAAAGUAAUGGGUGAUGGCUGGAAGAUAGGGCUGAAAAAAACAGAAAUUGGAGAAAUCCAGCCAUCUCAAAUAAGUUACUGAAAAUGUAUGAGAAAUUUAGAAGUUAGAAAAAGGAGCAAGUUGCAGGUAAUGCAGUACCUGUGACAGAGUGCCAAUUUGUGAAAAAUAAUUUCAAUAAUGGAGGAGUCAGGUGAGAGUGAAGGCAAGACCCAUGAUACUUAGUGAUUCACAGUGGAUUUUUUUUUUUUUUUUUUUUUUUUUUUUUUGAAAAAAUGAAAGGAAAUUUAAUAUUUCGGAAAAUAAAUUGGUAGGUCAGGUCAAAACGGUUUUUAAGGGUAGUUGAAUGGCAAAAGACUCCAAAAAAGUAUGAAAAAUUUAAAAAUUU
rnacentral:lncRNA from 1 species